rnacentral:rRNA from 1 species
AUGCAAGAGAAUAUUUGUGACUGCUCGGUGCGCGCAAAAUCAUGUUUAAUCAUUUAUGUGAACUAUUUAAAUAGUUCAAUUGUCGUUGACAGUGAUGCUCUAUUUUGCAAGAAGGGGAAGCCAGAAGCCGAGAGCAGCAGGUCAUGCAGAUGCGAGUGCCCUGCUUUGAUACGGCUCCUGCGGGCUUCUAAUAGUUUGUACAUAACACAGCACAGUGAAAACCACAAACAUUCCAUGUCUCACUAUGGGUGGCCGUCACACAAACACAUCGAUGUUUACACUAAAGAUCUGAUAAAGCAGCUAAGGGAAAACAAUGUAAACCUCGGGAAGGUGUACAACAUUAUUGGAAGUGUCUUCGGCUUGGUUGAGAAGGUGCCGUUCACAAAGAGGACGCUCAUGAACAUAUAA